UAUAAAUAAUACAAAUGCUUUUACAUGCAUAAUUCAAUUUAUACUAUGUUUUAUCUUUAAUUACCGGAUAAUAAAAACAUAACUACUCUCAGGAAGUGUGAGGGAUGGUGACUCAGGCUAAGGUGAGCCUCACAGCCUGGAGGCUGGCUUUAGUGCUGGCUGGGAGAGCUGCAAGGAGAUGGCAUAUGCUGCCGAUGAAGGUGUUCUCCAGGAAUUUUCAGUUAGAAGUUUUGAUCAUUGUUCAUUUGGCCUCAGGAUGAACAUCAUGAAUAACUGGGAGAUGAAACAGGAAGCUCUAUGACACACUUGAUCGAAUAUGACAGACACUGAAAAUCACGACUCAUCCCCCUCCAGCACCUCUACCUGUUGCCCGCCGAUCACAGCCGGAAUGCAGCUGAAAGAUUCCCUGGGGCCUGGUUCCAACUGCCCACUGUGGACUCUGAGGCCUCUGCAUUUGCGGGUGGUCUGCCUGUGAUAUUUUGGUCAUGGGCUGGUCUGGUCGGUUUCCCAUUUGUCUGGCCAGUCUCUGUGUGUCUUAAUCCCUUGUCCUUCAUUAAAAGCAAAACUAAA
rnacentral:lncRNA from 1 species